AUUGAACGCUGGCGGCAGGCCUAACACAUGCAAGUCGAACGGUAACAGGAAGAAGCUUGCUUCUUUGCUGACGAGUGGCGGACGGGUGAGUAAUGUCUGGGAAACUGCCUGAUGGAGGGGGAUAACUACUGGAAACGAUAGCUAAUACCGCAUAACGUCGCAAGACCAAAGAGGGGGACCUUCGGGCCUCUUGCCAUCGGAUGUGCCCAGAUGGGAUUAGCUAGUAGGUGGGGUAACGGCUUACCAAGGCGACGAUGCAUAGCCGAGUUGAGAGACUGAUCGGCCACAUUGGGACUGAGACACGGCCCAA
rnacentral:rRNA from 1 species